rnacentral:rRNA from 1 species
UACAUGGGGUGCAAACGUUGCUCGGAAUUAUUGGGCGUAAAGCGCACGUAGGUGGUCUGUUAUGUCAGAUGUGAAAGCCCUCGGCUUAACUGAGGAAGUGCACCUGAAACUGGCAGGCUUGAGUACGAAAGAGGGUCGCGGAAUUCCCGGUGUAGAGGUGAAAUGCGCAGAUAUCAGGAAGAACACCCGUGGCGAAAGCGGCUCUCUGGAACGGUACUGACGCUGAGACGCGAAAGCGUGGGGAGCGAACAGG